rnacentral:rRNA from 1 species
AGUGAACGCUGGCGGUAGGCCUAACACAUGCAAGUCGAACGGCAGCACAGAGGAGCUUGCUCCUUGGGUGGCGAGUGGCGGACGGGUGAGGAAUACACCGGAAUCUACUCUGUCGUGGGGGAUAACGUAGGGAAACUUACGCUAAUACCGCAUACGACCUACGGGUGAAAGCAGGGGACCUUCGGGCCUUGCGCGAUUGAAUGAGCCGAUGUCGGAUUAGCUAGUUGGCGGGGUAAAGGCCCACCAAGGCGACGAUCCGUAGCUGGUCUGAGAGGAUGAUCAGCCACACUGGAACUGGGACACGGUACAGAAUGCUACGGGAGGCAGCAGUGGGGAAUAUUGGACAAUGGGCGCAAGCCUGAUCCAGCCAUACCGCGUGGGUGAAGAAGGCCUUCGGGUUGUAAAGCCCUUUUGUUGGGAAAGAAAUCCAGCUGGCUAAUACCCGGUUGGGAUGACGGUACCCAAAGAAUAAGCACCGGCUAACUUCGUGCCAGCCGCCGCAGUAA